GUAGGUGGCAAGCGUUGUCCGGAAUUAUUGGGCGUAAAGCGCGCGCAGGCGGUUCUUUAAGUCUGAUGUGAAAGCCCACGGGCUCAACCGUGGAGGGUCAUUGGAAACUGGAGAACUUGAGUACAGAAGAGGAAAGCGGAAUUCCACGUGUAGCGGUGAAAUGCGUAGAGAUGUGGAGGAACACCAGUGGCGAAGGCGGCUUUCUGGUCUGUAACUGACGCUGAGGCGCGAAAGCGUGGGGAGCAAACAGGAUUAGAUACCCUGGUAGUCCACGCCGUAAACGAUGAGUGCUAAGUGUUAGGGGGUUUCCGUCCCUUAGUGCUGCAGCUAACGCAUUAAGCACUCCGCCUGGGGAGUACGGCCGCAAAGGCUG
rnacentral:rRNA from 1 species